GAGGGUGUAGCUCAAAUGGUGGAGCACAUGCCUAGCAUGCAUGAGAUCCUGGGUUCAGUCGACAGUACCUCCA
rnacentral:tRNA from 1 species